GCCUGGUAGUGGGGGAUAACGUCCGGAAACGGACGCUAAUACCGCAUACGUCCUACGGGAGAAAGCAGGGGACCUUCGGGCCUUGCGCUAUCAGAUGAGCCUAGGUCGGAUUAGCUAGUUGGUGGGGUAAUGGCUCACCAAGGCGACGAUCCGUAACUGGUCUGAGAGGAUGAUCAGUCACACUGGAACUGAGACACGGUCCAGACUCCUACGGGAGGCAGCAGUGGGGAAUAUUGGACAAUGGGCGAAAGCCUGAUCCAGCCAUGCCGCGUGUGUGAAGAAGGUCUUCGGAUUGUAAAGCACUUUAAGUUGGGAGGAAGGGCAGUAAAUUAAUACUUUGCUGUUUUGACGUUACCGACAGAAUAAGCACCGGCUAACUCUGUGCCAGCAGCCGCGGUAAUACAGAGGGUGCAAGCGUUAAUCGGAAUUACUGGGCGUAAAGCGCGCGUAGGUGGUUCGUUAAGUUGGAUGUGAAAUCCCCGGGCUCAACCUGGGAACUGCAUUCAAAACUGACGAGCUAGAGUAUGGUAGAGGGUGGUGGAAUUUCCUGUGUAGCGGUGAAAUGCGUAGAUAUAGGAAGGAACACCAGUGGCGAAGGCGACCACCUGGACUGAUACUGACACUGAGGUGCGAAAGCGUGGGGAGCAAACAGGA
rnacentral:rRNA from 1 species